CUAAAAGCAAUGAACAGGAGGAGUAAGCAGCAACGGCUUAAUAGAGAGGGGAAAUCGGCGGCUGAAAGUUUCCCUUAAGUAUCGAGUUGCUGAAGGUAGCCUGGGAGUUCUGGAGUUGAAAGGAUGAAGCUUUUUGCCCAUCUUAGUAGGCUUCAGCGGUACAGAGCCGUUAUUUCGAAGCUUUAUAGGGACAUUUAUGUCUAUAUAAAGGCUGAGAAGCCCAUAAGUUAUGGGAAUAUUGGUGGUAACGCGGAGAUAGAGUCUUUCGUCCAAUUC
rnacentral:ncRNA from 1 species